rnacentral:lncRNA from 1 species
GUUCUUCCACUGAAUGAUAUAAUUAGGUCGGGACUUCUCCACUGAUAAGUACAACCCUAUCUCCACCCACCUUGAAAGCUGUUUGCAGUACCCGACUCCAAGGGUGGGAGCCCAGCCUGACAGUGGGUAGAACUGUCCCACCGGUGAGGCGCAGAGCCAAGGGGAACUACCAUAGACUGCAUCUGGAGUCAACGAUAAACGCCAACUGACGUACACUUGAGUCUUAUUGAGAUGAUUUGCUGCAAAGAAACUCUGGCUACUGCUCAGGUGAAACGGCUUUCUUCCCAUACGGUUUCACUUUACUGGAGGCCUCAUCGUAUGAAGAUAUAAUUCUAAAUAUUUGGACCAGACUUUCUUGCGCCCCUGCCUCUGAGGAACUGAGUGCUGGCAUAGUUCCACUGAAAAAAAAAACACCCAUUUACAAGAGAGGAUAUCAGAAAUAUACAUCCUUUCAUCCGUGCCCCACAGGCUACAUGGAAAGAGAGAGCACCAGCUGUUUUUCUCAUGGAAAUAGUGUAAGAAGAGUUUGGAAGCAUGUGUGAUGUGAAUCUCAUCAGAUUCAGAAAGAAGUUUAUAAUAAGUUAGCAUUGAGAAGAAAAUAAAUUGCUUUUAUUGUAUAAGGGAACCAUGUUAUAAAAGCUAAAACCAUUGAGUAACGUAUGUGAUAACUUUGAAAUAAUGUUUUCCAACUCUGAUACCCUUCAAUUUGGCUAGAAUAAUGUUAUACCUUUUUAAAGUUUAUAUUAUGAUGUUCCAUUCUCUUUCUGACCUUGGGUUAAUUAACCCAUCAAAAGUCAUAUGGACUGAUUUCCUUCAAUGUACUAUAAUGUAUUUUUAUCCAUCUGCAUGCUAUUAUGUAACCUCAGAAUAAAGAAGCCAUAUCGCUGUUGAUAUAUUCCACUUCUGUCUUUGGAUUUGGUCAGCAUUACAUAUGGAAGGAGUAACCCACCCUGUAUUGUUAUAAGGAUGGUUUUUCAUUCAUAUCCUUGUUGCUCUUAAUAAAUGUCCUGAA